GCAAAAUUCAACAGAAACAUGAACACAUGUGCUGGAUUUUAUAAAAUCAUUUCCUUUCUUUCUCUUAAAAAUGUACCACAGCUAAGUCUAGCCCAAAAUUCCUAUUCUCAUAAUUCUGAACAUAUUGUGAUAGUUUAUAGUAUAAAUACUAUUAAAUAUAUUAAUAUGAAACAAGACUAGAAGCAUUAGCCAAAUAUUUAGCCAUUUAUAAACUUUACAAUUUCCUGUAAGGAAUAAAGACUAGCUACAAACUAUCAUACUGAAAACUCUGGCUGCACAGCAUAAUGAGAGAUUUGGGCAUGAAAUAUGUGUUGAUAUUUACCAUAGUUUUUUUUUUAUUUGGAGAGAAAAAUAUGUGCUUGCUCAUAUAAUGGCCUAGAGGUUAUUUCUGUAAAUAAUUAUGGUUUUAAAUUAAUGAGGAAACAUGAAAUAAUUCUUACAGUUUGCUUUAAAAACAAACACAAAUUAACAUGGAUUUAUAUGAACGAGAAAACAAGUAUUGAUAUAAGUUAUAGUAUGUAUUAAAGUAUUACAUUUUACAUGCACAUGUGCUACAUAACACAUGAAUUCUUCCAACAUUUUAAGGAAAUAGAUUUUAUACUCAGCAGACAGUCCUCUCAAGUUUACUCUGUCUCACUUGCUCAUUUUCCCUUUCUAGGAAGGCCCACCACCUUAGCUGAGACAAUGGGCAAAGCAGAAAUGUGGCUCAUUAGAUCCUACUGGGAUUUGGAAUUUCCCCACCCA
rnacentral:lncRNA from 1 species